AUUGAACGCUGGCGGCAUGCCUUACACAUGCAAGUCGAACGGUAACGGGCCUUCGGGUGCCGACGAGUGGCGAACGGGGGAGUAAUACAUCGGAACGUGCCCGAUCUUGGGGGAUAACGAGGCGAAAGCUUUGCUAAUACCGCAUACGAUCUACGGAUGAAAGCAGGGGACCGCAAGGCCUUGCGCGGACGGGGCGGCCGAUGGCGGAUUAGGUAGUUGGGGGGAUAAAAGCUUACCAAGCCGACGAUCUGUAGCUGGUCUGAGAGGAUGAUCAGCCACACUGGGACUGAGACACGGCCCAGACUCCUACGGGAGGCAGCAGUGGGGAAUUUUGGACAAUGGGCGCAAGCCUGAUCCAGCCAUGCCGCGUGCAGGAUGAAGGCCUUCGGGUUGUAAACUGCUUUUGUACGGAACGAAAAGCCUUCUUUUAAUACAGGAGGGUCAUGACGGUACCGUAAGAAUAAGCACCGGCUAACUACGUG
rnacentral:rRNA from 1 species